UACGGAGGGUGCAAACGUUGCUCGGAAUUAUUGGGCGUAAAGCGCACGUAGGCGGUUCGUUAAGUCGGAUGUGAAAGCCCUCGGCUCAACCGAGGAAGUGCAUACGAAACUGGCGAACUUGAAUAUGGAAGAGGGUCGCGGAAUUCCCGGUGUAGAGGUGAAAUGCGUAGAUAUCGGAAGGUACACCAGUGGCGAAAGCGGCUUCCUGGUCCAGCACCGACGUUCAGGCACGAAAGCGUGGGGAGCAAACAGG
rnacentral:rRNA from 1 species